rnacentral:rRNA from 1 species
UACGAAGGGUGCAAGCGUUACUCGGAAUUACUGGGCGUAAAGCGUGCGUAGGUGGUUGUUUAAGUCUGUUGUGAAAGCCCUGGGCUCAACCUGGGAAUUGCAGUGGAUACUGGACGACUAGAGUGUGGUAGAGGGUAGUGGAAUUCCCGGUGUAGCAGUGAAAUGCGUAGAGAUCGGGAGGAACAUCCAUGGCGAAGGCAGCUACCUGGACCAACACUGACACUGAGGCACGAAAGCGUGGGGAGCAAACAGG